GACGUAGGGGGCGAGCGUUAUCCGGAUUUAUUGGGCGUAAAGCGCGCGCAGGCGGCCGUGCAAGUCGGAUGUGAAAACACGAGGCUCAACCUCGUGCCUGCAUUCGAUACUGCUCGGCUAGAGGCAGGUAGGGGAGAUCGGAAUUCCCGGUGUAGCGGUGAAAUGCGCAGAUAUCGGGAGGAACACCGGUGGCGAAGGCGGAUCUCUGGGCCUGUCCUGACGCUCAGGCGCGAAAGCUGGGGGAGCGAACAGGAUUAGAUACCCUGGUAGUCCCAGCCGUAAACGUUGGGUGCUAGGUGUGGGAGGCAUCAACCCCUUCCGUGCCGUCGCAAACGCAUUAAGCACCCCGCCUGGGGAGUACGGCCGCAAGGCUAAA
rnacentral:rRNA from 1 species